GCUCUGGUGCCCAAGUGGUUAGAGCGUCCGCCUCUGAAGCGGGUUGUUGCGUGUUCGAACCCCGGCCAAGUCA